rnacentral:tRNA from 1 species
GAGGGUAUAGCUCAGUGGUAGAGUGCGUGCUUAGCAUGCACAAGGUCCUGGGUUCAAUCCCCAGUACCUCUG